UACGAGGGGGGCAAAUGUUGUUCGGAAUCACUGGGCGUAAAGGGCGCGUAGGCGGGCUCUUAAGUUAGGUGUUUAAUCCCGGGGCCCAACCCCGGUCGUGCACUUAAAACUGGGAGUCUUGAAUAGUGGAGAGGUCAGUGGAAUUGGGGGUGUAGCGGUGGAAUGCGUAGAGAUCCCCAAGAACACCAGUUGCGAAGGCGGCUGACUGGACACAUAUUGACGCUGAGGCUCGAAAGCAUGGGGAGCAAACAGG
rnacentral:rRNA from 1 species